GCAUUAAAAAGGGCGUAGGAGUGCAUUCUCGACUCAUCCACCAGAUGAGAAGGACUCUGUCAUUCUCAUCCACCAGGCACAUAAGGCUGAACUGACAUAAGAUGAAAGGAGGCUUCCUGUUGCUGUUGGUUGCCAUGGUGAUUUUCAGUAUGGUCGCCGUAAGUGACGCUAACCCUCCACAAGGCAACCCGAUCACCAGCAACAAAUCAAGCCAGAACCAAGUCACGCCAAAGAGUGGAAGCGCCCCCCAGCUGGCAGGACACCUGCUGCUGACCCAGGGACCCGCCGUGAUGCUACAGCACCUCCUGCCGCCCUUCUGAGCCCAGUGACCGCAGCGAACAGCGACACCGUUUUCAUUCGCUUGUCCUUCGCCUGACUUGUCGUCUCGCUCUUGCUUCAAACUUCCUCCUGUACGCAUGAUCACGUGAAAAAGAGCUGCUUUUAUACACCUGCUGCAUGCAAAGGCACUUCCAAAGGAAACUGCUUGCAUCAUGCUCUGCUCUCUCACCCUCCCCCCUCCCCCAAAUAAGGGUGAGGCCUCUCAGCCAUGUUUCAUAACAGGUGAAAAUUUUUUCAUCUAACAAGGGAGGGGAGGAGGGGGUUUAUCUUCAAUAAAUUACCCCUGACCCAUAACAAAUGUGUCGUCUUUCCCUUUUCUGCGAUUCUACUCACAUCAACGAAAGCUUGAUGAAGCAAAGAAACCUGAGUGCCACGUUUUAAUUUGCAAAGUUCCUGUGUUAACAGAGAAAGAAAACUGGGGGAGGUCUAUAUUGGGGCCCAGACAGUUACUGGCUGGGGAGGGAAAGGGGGCGGGUCUUCCUGCUUUACACCAACGCAGGGAGGCAGGGAUCAUGGGCACAUUAAAAAGGGCGCGUUCGUGCAUUCUAGACUGAGCCGAGACAGAACGGAGGAACUGUCAUUUCUCAUCCACCACACGCAACAGGCUGAGCAGACGCAGGAUGACGCCCAGAAAAGGAGCCAUUCGGCUGCUGGUCGCCAUGCUGAUUUGCAGUAUGGUCCUCGUAAAGGAAUCGCUGCAGACCCCGAAUCAGGAGCAGAGCUCCGCACAGAAGACUGCAAAUGUCUCGUCAAAGAGUGGAAGCGCCCCCCAGCUGGCAGGACACCUGCUGCUGACCCUGGGACCGGCCAUGAUGCUACAGCACCUCCUGUCGCCCUUCUGAGCCCAGUGAUCGCGGCGAACAGCGACACCGUUUUCAUUCGCUUGUCCUUCGCCUGACUUGUCUCCUCGCUCUUACUUCAAACUUCCUCCUGUACGCAUGAUAACGUGAAAAAGAGCUGCUUUUAUACACCUGCUGCGUGCAAAGGCACUUCCAAAGGAAACUGCUUGCAUCAUGCUCUGCUCUCUCACCCCCCCCCCUCCCCCAAAUAAGGGUGAGGCCUCUCAGCCAUGUUUAACAGCAUAGGUACUGUCGCGCGCCAAUUCGUAUCUGUAACCAAUCCACUUGUUGGGAGAGAGUUGUGAUGGCAAAAUGUUUUUGGUAUGACUGGGGAGGUGGUUUAUUCUCAAUAAAAUACCCCCGCCCUACGAAAAA